GAUGAACGCUGGCGGCGUGCCUAAUACAUGCAAGUCGAGCGAACAGAUAAGGAGCUUGCUCCUUUGACGUUAGCGGCGGACGGGUGAGUAACACGUGGGUAACCUAUCUAUAAGACUGGAAUAACUCCGGGAAACCGGGGCUAAUGCCGGAUAACAUGUUGAACCGCAUGGUUCUACAGUGAAAGGCGGCUUUGCUGUCACUUAUAGAUGGACCCGCGCCGUAUUAGCUAGUUGGUGAGGUAACGGCUCACCAAGGCAACGAUACGUAGCCGACCUGAGAGGGGGAUCGGCCACACUGGAACUGAGACACGGUCCAGACGCCUACGGGAGGCAGCAGUAGGGAAUCUUCCGCAAUGGGCGAAAGCCUGACGGAGCAACGCCGCGUGAGUGAUGAAGGUCUUCGGAUCGUAAAACUCUGUUAUUAGGGAAGAACAAAUGCGUAAGUAACUGUGCGCGUCUUGACGGUACCUAAUCAGAAAGCCACGGCUAACUACGUG
rnacentral:rRNA from 1 species